AUGAGUGAAGAUCUUGCUGCACAACGGAUCUUCGGUCUAUCUUCAAUGACAAGUCGGAGGCUUUUCUGGAAGUCAAAUUUCUGUGCGGUGUCCUCUCCACCUCGUGUGGGCUUGGAACUUCUCUGUUGGAAGGCCCGACCUUGUGGGUUUGGACAGGCAAGUUUGUGCUUUGAAAUCUUCUACUAGCUUUUGAUUCUAAUUUCUCAAUUCUUUUAUUUUUUUUAUUCUUUUAGUGAAAACACAUAAACGGUAACUGGAUCACAGAACCAACAUAAAACUAACAAAAAAAAGAUUGUUAUUAGAUAAUUCAAUUUGCCAGUGCUUUGUGCAUGAAAUCAUGAAACAUUCUUGGCAUUUUAAUUUCUUUAUCGUUCGCUCGUUUUUGUCAUUCAGAAGAAGUUUGUGACAGAUUUACUAGAAAUAUACCGGGUGGGCUGGGAUGGAUACUCAAUAUCAGAAUGAUGAUUGGGCAAAGACUACUUGGUGGAGGAGGAGAGAUGGCUGGCUCUUUUGUUUGAAUGGGAGAUUUGUGGCCUUGAAGUCCGGGGGAUGCACGUGGAGAAGAUAAGCCGAUGGGACUCGAGUGCGGAUGCGUGGAGUCGCAUACUGCUCCUUCCUUUUUUGGGCCGAGGCUUGAAAGAUUGACAGGGGAGUUGCAGCUGCAGUGUUGCAGUGUUUAACUCUCAAUCUGGGACGAUGUCGGUAACUUUAAAGUAGCAAUAAUAGCGCAUUUCCCCUGCCCGUGUGUCGGUGUUGCAACGAGUGUCAAAUGGGUAAUCAUUGUCUCAUAUAUGUUCUAAUCAGUACACCGAUCCCGAGUCCGUAUUCUGCAACUUCCAUCAGGCACUGCAUUUUUCCAUCAAACAUUGUUUUGCUGCAUUA